rnacentral:rRNA from 1 species
UAGGGAAUCUUCCACAAUGGACGGAAGUCUGAUGGAGCAACGCCGCGUGAGUGAAGAAGGUCUUCGGAUUGUAAAGCUCUGUUGCCAGGGAAGAAGAGACAGAAUGCGUUCUGUUGUGACGGUACCUGAGAAGAAAGCCCCGGCUAACUACGUGCCAGCAGCCGCGGUAAUACGUAGGGGGCAAGCGUUGUCCGGAAUUAUUGGGCGUAAAGCGCGUGCAGGCGGUUUUAUAAGCGAGACGUAUAAGUGCAGGGCUCAACCUUGUGAGGCGUUUCGAACUGUAAGACUUGAGUGCGAGAGAGGAAAGUGGAAUUCCACGUGUAGCGGUGAAAUGCGUAGAGAUGUGGAGGAACACCAGUGGCGAAAGCGACUUUCUGGCUCGUAACUGACGCUGAGGCGC